GCCAGUGUUGCUUAGUGGUUGGAGCAUUGGCCCGCACACCAAAGGGGAGUGGGUUCAAUUCCCAGUCAAGGGCA
rnacentral:tRNA from 1 species